rnacentral:misc_RNA from 1 species
GAUAGAUCGAUUCUAUAAAUAGAAGGAAGCUUAAGCCCGUUUGCUGAGUACAGUGGUGACAUCAUGGAUUCAGAUACUAACAGGUCCAGCAAGCUGGACGGAGAAUGAGACGACGUGCAGAAAUGAAAACAAAAGAACUUCCUGAUGUCACAAAGACGCUAAAUCUUCUUGAAUAUUGAUGUAAUUAUUUUCAAAGACGAACAGAAAAAGGAAUCGCAGCCGAACUAAAAGGAUAAAACUUGAAAACCAUCGAAAUGACUUGUGAAAUUAAGAGUAAGCAUCAUCCGGUUCAGAUAAAGUGCUCAUUUCCAGAGGUUAAUGAAACUAAGAGAGAUUUUUCUGUCUACUUUCAUUCAUCCGAUGGAAGUCAGGAUGCAGUAGCCAACUGUAUUUUCAAUGGAAUAAACACAUGCUUGACAGAAGAGGGCUUCGACGCCAAACUGAAGGUUUUAACGCGGCCAUUGUAACAGUUCCUGACUCAUUUGCAGCAAAGACCGGAAUAUUUGUUUGUCAGAGAGGAGAUCUACCUUUUUUCGAAAAUUGUCAGUUCCCUCUUGAAGGCAACAGUCUUAUCUCUGAAACUGGUUAUGGAACGACAACAAAUGUAAUUCCUGGUUUUGUAACGACCAAACACUCUGGAAAUGAAG